CUGGCAUUGUCCCACAGCACCUCUGCAUGGGCUACCUCGGGAACGUGACCACACCUUGCUACAGUACAGGACACAGACAGAAGUGUAUUGAGGCAGGUUCCCACUCCCCAUUUGAUGUGCAUGUCAACCAGCUGCGACCCCCUUCCAAGUAAAAGCCGUCUUCACAUGAGUAUUCAACCACAGUCCCAGGAAUCCCGGCUGGCAGCCGUAGCUAACCACACUCCCAUAGACUGUAGCAGGAUGCCGGGAGAGCAGUAUGGCAUGAUGCACUGGAGGUGGGGGUCCACAGUCGACGGCUGAAGAUGAGAGAAAGAAACCACCUGUUGUAGACACUUCUCAAUUCAUCCCUGCAGUAUCAGGUAUGGAUGUUACUUGACUUGUUGUUUUUUUUUUUUUUUUUACACUUUAUUUGUACUAGGAGAAAAGUAGAAAAAAUAUUUGCACACCAUAAAAGCUCCCUUGUCGUGAUUUUAAUGUGAAA